AAGGCCCAGCUGCCUUUGGAGAAAGGAGCUCUUCAGAUGAGCUGACCUGCCAUCCUACGUAGCCUAAUACGCAGAUGAGGUGUAAGCUGCAGCGUCAUCCCAUGCAAUUUCUUAAGAGUGUGUUCUGGAAUAGAAGCAGGAGCCAGGAAACCAGGAAUGAUGAAACUGCCUGGCGUCCUCACAGCACCCGUUACAAGGCAAAACAGCAAAGAGCCUCAGCCAGCAGAUACUGGGCGACGUAACCCCAUUUCACAUCAUCUGUGCUCAUGGUUUAUUCAGGAAUGGUUUUUGGGUCGUGUUCUACCAGCAUAUUACUACUGUCAGGCGAAAGAUUCUAUGAAAAUAAAUAGGAGGAAUUCCUUUUGGGGUGACCCACAGGAUAAACUCUGCUGAGCAUCAUUAGAACCUCGAGCAAAGGAGCAGAAGAGAAAAAAAGAGGCAUUUAAAACAGAUGAUGGAUCGAUGCAGAUGGGGAUCUGCUGGACCAAUCUAUUCUUCAUGAAAGCCAAGUUUUCUCUGAGGAAUUGCUUUAAGAGGAUGUAGCAACUCAUUGCUCUCAAAGCGCCCUUUUUUAAUUCUACAACAGAGGUUUUGCUGAAAUGAAAAUACUUCUAUAUUUUGCACAAAGCCAAGAGCCUGUAUAUACCUCUGGUUGUUGUUUUUUGUUUGUUUUUCUGCAUAGGGAAAAUCAGAAUGCAAAUACUGUCUAUAAAUCAAAUAUUUAAGUUGUUGGGUUUUUUAAGUUUGCCAGCCCUCUUCAUUCUAGUCCAGACUUGAGUGAUUGCUCUUAUCCUCUCUGGACAGCCACCCAAAGCCAUAGGGUUAUGUUUGCACAGUUGGUGGUGCUUCAAUUUGUUUUGAUGGUUGGGUUCCAAGCACACUGGCAAUGAGAGGAAAGAUCACAUAGACAUCAAGAUCUAGUCCCCCCUAACAUAACUGCCAUGAAACUGGCCCCCCGAACUGCUGCUAAACUGUGAAGAAAGUCUAUUAAGAAUGAUAGAGGGGAUUGGUUUAAAGAACAGAUCAUGCCCAUCUUGCCAGUGGGAUGACAGAAGGUUACAUGGAAUUCUGGGGGAGGCUAAAUGACAAAUGGCCACUGAUGAAGCUAUACAAACCCAACAGGAAAUGUGUCAAGAGGUAAUGCUGCCUAACAUUUCAAUUUUAGAACAUUUCCAGUUUUAAUUUGAAAAAGCUAAUAGAGGCCACAAACCUAAGGAGUAGAGACCAUCAUAGCCCCGACACAUAGUGCUUCACUGGUUAUGACUGGGAGUAAUAAAAUCCCUGCCAAAAAGGAGGACUGCA
rnacentral:lncRNA from 1 species